rnacentral:rRNA from 1 species
UGGGGAAUAUUGCACAAUGGGCGCAAGCCUGAUGCAGCCAUGCCGCGUGUAUGAAGAAGGCCUUCGGGUUGUAAAGUACUUUCAGCGAGGAGGAAGGCGUUGUGGUUAAUAACCGCAACGAUUGACGUUACUCGCAGAAGAAGCACCGGCUAACUCCGUGCCAGCAGCCGCGGUAAUACGGAGGGUGCAAGCGUUACUCGGCAUUACUGGGCGUAAAGCGCACGCAGGCGGUCUGUCAAGUCGGAUGUGAAAUCCCCGGGCUCAACCUGGGAACUGCAUCCGAAACUGGCAGGCUAGAGUCUUGUAGAGGGGGGUAGAAUUCCAGGUGUAGCGGUGAAAUGCGUAGAGAUCUGGAGGAAUACCGGUGGCGAAGGCGGCCCCCUGGACAAAGACUGACGCUCAGGUGCGAAAGCGUGGGGAGCAAACA